GGCCGCGGGAAUUCGAUUCAGGCGUAACACAUGCAAGUCGAACGGCAGCACGGGUGCUUGCACCUGGUGGCGAGUGGCGAACGGGUGAGUAAUACAUCGGAACGUACCUUAUCGUGGGGGAUAACGCAGCGAAAGCUGUGCUAAUACCGCAUACGCCCUGAGGGGGAAAGCGGGGGAUCGCAAGACCUCGCGCGAUUAGAGCGGCCGAUGCCUGAUUAGCUAGUUGGUGGGGUAAAAGCCCACCAAGGCGACGAUCAGUAGCUGGUCUGAGAGGACGAUCAGCCACACUGGGACGGAGACACGGCCCAGACUCCUACGGGAGGCAGCAGUGGGGAAUUUUGGACAAUGGGGGCAACCCUGAUCCAGAAGGGCCGCGUGAGUGAAGAAGGCCUUCGGGUGUAAAUUUAUAGUGUCAGGGAAGAAACACCGGCUCUACACAGUCCGGGAAUGA
rnacentral:rRNA from 1 species